UCUCUUACCCCGCAGUACUCCAGCAUGUGGAUGAUCUCGUCCUCGUAGACGGUGUGUGUGGCGUACUGUUUCUCCAGCUCCCUCCAGUUCACGGCUCUACUCAACACUCCCUGCGGAGGGGGAAAGUCAGAGCGAGAAGCGUGAUUGAAAUCUUACGGUGGUGAAAACGUUCGAAGCAGUAGUCCAAGAAAGACACGGGAUCAGAGGAAUCGGCUUCGGCCAAUUGGUUAUGGCUAAAGAUGCCAUCUGUGUGAAACACACCAACAAAGAAGACAAAGUGAUAGUUUUGUCGUUGGCGUGUACUCACAUGACCUCCCAUGGAGAUGCCGGUCAUUCCCAGCGGCCAGAAGCCCUCCCUCUCCAACCAGUGCAGGAGAGCGGCUGACUCCAG